CCUUGUGAAGGAUUCAGCCUUGUUGUCGUUCUUAGGAAUCUUCCCAUUGAGUUGUUGGUUUUUGGAGAAAUUUUCGGUUCUUGUGUUUGCCAUGGAAGGCAUCUUCAGCCUAUAUGGCUUUAUUAUGUGUAGUUUGUG